GACCCAUUGGCCUAAUGGAUAAGGCAUCAGCCUCUGAUACUGGGAUUAUGGGUGUGAGUUCCAUCUAGGUCA
rnacentral:tRNA from 1 species